AUAUGAGAAGUAGUACUACUAGGGUUUUCAGCAAUAUGGCAGCACUUAAACUUUUAGGGUUUCAAGAAAUGGAGGACAUUUCCAACAUAAAUUGUACCAACAGUUACAAUGUAUCUGAUCCUAAUUGCUCUUCAUCAAUUAUUAUUCCUUUUCUUGUUCUUCUUAGUAAACAAUAAUUCUCUCGCAAGCAGCUCGGCCAUGAUGGUCCAGGUUGUCGCAGAGACCAGAGAGUACCCACCAAUAUUCCCUUGAAGCUUGUUUCCCUGCUUGUUAUAGAAAGCAUCGCACUUUCCACUUUGUUGGCCAUUUUGUACCAUGCAUGUGAUGAUGCGUUGCUUACCUAGCUCCAAUGAGAUCAAUUUGAGUUA